rnacentral:rRNA from 1 species
UACGUGGGGUCCAAGCGUUAUCCGGAAUUACUGGGCGUAAAGAGUUGCGUAGGUGGCAGAGUAAGUAGGUAGUGAAAUUGUGUGGCUCAACCAUACACCCAUUAUCUAAACUGCUCAGCUAGAGCAUAGAAGAGGUAGCUGGAAUUUCUAGUGUAGGAGUGAAAUCCGUAGAUAUUAGAAGGAACACCGAUGGCGUAGGCAGGCUACUGGUCUAUUGCUGACACUAAGGCACGAAAGCGUGGGGAGCGAACUGG